rnacentral:rRNA from 1 species
GAGUUUGAUUCUGGCUCAGGACAAACGCUGGCGGCGUGCAUAACACAUGCAAGUCGAACGAAAUCUACAUGAUUUAGUGGCGAACGGGUGAGUAACACGUGAGAAACCUGCCUUACACAGAGGGAUAGCCGUUGGAAACGACGAUUAAUACCUCAUGACACCGUGACAUCGCAUGAUGAUGCGGUCAAAGAUUUAUCGGUGUAAGAUGGUCUCGCGCCUGAUUAGCUGGUUGGUGGGGUAACGGCCUACCAAGGCGACGAUCAGUAGCCGAUCUGAGAGGGUGGACGGCCACAUUGGGACUGAGACACGGCCCAAACUCCUACGGGAGGCAGCAGUGGGGAAUUUUGCACAAUGGGGGAAACCCUGAUGCAGCGACGCCGCGUGAACGAAGAAGGCCUUCGGGUUGUAAAGUUCUGUCCUUGGUGAAGAUAAUGACCGUACCAGAGAGC